CAGGUCUUCGGAUGCUGACGAGUGGCGAACGGGUGAGUAAUACAUCGGAACGUGCCCGAUCGUGGGGGAUAACGAGGCGAAAGCUUUGCUAAUACCGCAUACGAUCUACGGAUGAAAGCGGGGGAUCUUCGGACCUCGCGCGGACGGAGCGGCCGAUGGCAGAUUAGGUAGUUGGUGGGAUAAAAGCUUACCAAGCCGACGAUCUGUAGCUGGUCUGAGAGGAUGAUCAGCCACACUGGGACUGAGACACGGCCCAGACUCCUACGGGAGGCAGCAGUGGGGAAUUUUGGACAAUGGGCGAAAGCCUGAUCCAGCCAUGCCGCGUGCAGGAUGAAGGCCUUCGGGUUGUAAACUGCUUUUGUACGGAACGAAAAGCCUCUUUCUAAUAAAGAGGGGUCAUGACGGUACCGUAAGAAUAAGCACCGGCUAACUACGUGCCAGCAGCCGCGGUAAUACGUAGGGUGCAAGCGUUAAUCGGAAUUACUGGGCGUAAAGCGUGCGCAGGCGGUUUUGUAAGACAGAGGUGAAAUCCCCGGGCUCAACCUGGGAACUGCCUUUGUGACUGCAAGGCUGGAGUGCGGCAGAGGGGGAUGGAAUUCCGCGUGUAGCAGUGAAAUGCGUAGAUAUGCGGAGGAACACCGAUGGCGAAGGCAAUCCCAUGGGCCUGCACUGACGCUCAUGCACGAAAGCGUGGGG
rnacentral:rRNA from 1 species